AAUAAAAUAAAAUAGCCAAAUUUGAGUAUCAGAAGACCUACUAGUCUCCCCGGUUGAUCUCUAUAUUUCUGAGA